rnacentral:miRNA from 1 species
AACGGGCGAAGGGGAAAAGGGCGAAGGAAAAAUAUGCUUUAUUUUUCCUUCGCCCUUUUCCCCUUCGCCGUUUUUUCUCCGCU